rnacentral:misc_RNA from 1 species
AGGAGCUUUGUUCCUUGGGUUCUUGGGAGCAGCAGGAAGCACUAUGGGCGCAGCAUCAAUAACGCUGACGGUACAGGCCAGACAAUUAUUGUCGGGUAUAGUGCAACAGCAAAGCAAUUUGCUGAAAGCUAUAGAGGCGCAACAGCAUAUGUUGCAGCUCACGGUCUGGGGCAUUAAGCAGCUCCAGACAAGAGUCCUGGCUAUAGAAAGACACCUAAGGGAUCAACAGCUCCU